GCAAAUGUUGUUCGGAAUCACUGGGCGUAAAGGGAGCGUAGGCGGGCGUUUAAGUUAGGUGUUUAAUCCUGGGGCCCAACCCCAGUCGUGCACCUAAAACUGGACAUCUUGAAUAGUGGAGAGGUCAGUGGAAUUGGGGGUGUAGCGGUGGAAUGCGUAGAGAUCCCCAAGAACACCAGUUGCGAAGGCGGCUGACUGGACACAUAUUGACGCUGAGGCUCGAAAGCAUGGGGAGCAAACAGG
rnacentral:rRNA from 1 species